UACGGAAAGGUAACGCCUGCGCGCGCAUGCCUAAUACAUGCAAGUCGAGCGGACAGAUGGGAGCUUGCUCCCUGAAGUCAGCGGCGGACGGGUGAGUAACACGUGGGCAACCUGCCUGUAAGACUGGGAUAACUCCGGGAAACCGGGGCUAAUACCGGAUGAUUCUUUCCCUCACAUGAGGGAAAGCUGAAAGAUGGUUUCGGCUAUCACUUACAGAUGGGCCCGCGGCGCAUUAGCUAGUUGGUGAGGUAACGGCUCACCAAGGCGACGAUGCGUAGCCGACCUGAAAGGGUGAUCGGCCACACUGGGACUGAAACACGGCCCAAACUCCUACGGGAGGCAGCAUUAGGGAAUCUUCCGCAAUGGACAAAAGUCUGACGGAGCAACGCCGCGUGAGUGAUGAAGGUUUUCGGAUCGUAAAACUCUGUUUUUUUUGGAAAAACAAGAACCGGAGCAACUGCCGGUACCUUGCCGGUGCCCAACA
rnacentral:rRNA from 1 species